rnacentral:rRNA from 1 species
UACGUAGGGUGCGAGCGUUGUCCGGAAUUAUUGGGCGUAAAGAGCUCGUAGGCGGUUUGUCACGUCUGCUGUGAAAUCCCGAGGCUCAACCUCGGGCCUGCAGUGGGUACGGGCAGACUGGAGUGCGGUAGGGGAGAAUGGAAUUCCUGGUGUAGCGGUGGAAUGCGCAGAUAUCAGGAGGAACACCGAUGGCGAAGGCAGUUCUCUGGGCCGUAACUGACGCUGAGGAGCGGAAGCGUGGGGAGCGAACAGG